rnacentral:rRNA from 13 species
CGACCUCAGAGUAGGCGAGACUACCCGCUUAAUUUAAGCAUAUUAAUAAGCGGAGGAAAAGAAACUAACAAGGAUUCCCUUAGUAACGGCGAGCGAAAAGGGAAGAGCCCAGCGCUGAAUCUUACGUCCCACGGGCGUAAUGACAUGUAGCGUUUGGGACGAGACAUUGCUCGUACUAAAUUGAUCAUCUAAGUCCUUCUUGAACGGGGCCAUAGCCCAUGGAGGGUGCUAGGCCCGUAUGAUGAUUAUUGUUGUAUGAUGCGUUUCGUCCGUAGAGUCGGGUUGCUUGGGAGUGCAGCCCAAAUCAGGUGGUAAACUCCAUCUAAGGCUAAAUAUGACCACGAGACCGAUAGCGAACAAGUACCGUGAGGGAAAGUUGAAAAGAACUUUGAAGAGAGAGUUCAAUAGUACGUGAAACCUCUCGGGGGUAAGCGGGCAGAACUUGCAAGUAUUGUCAGGAGAUUCAGACUUGAGUUUAGUAGUUGAGUACUUUUGUUAAGUUGUUCAUUCGUGAACUGACUGAUUGAUGUACUUUAUUCUGCUGAAUAUGUGUCGCACUUCUCCUUGUCAUCCGGGUUGCAUGCAACUGAUUUUGGUAGUUUAGGUUUUGAGAAUCUGUGAGUCAUUCAUUCGUGAUUGAUUUAAGUCUUGAAUUUCCAACUACUGAUGCGGUUGUAAGAAAAUAGCGAACAAGCGUUUGACGCGGUCAAUUAUUUUUACGAGUCGUGUACGUAUUUUAUAUGGACGAGCAAUCGUAGUAUAUUUUAUGUGCUGGUUGUCAGUAGGAGUAAUUUUGGCAUUGUUCUGUAUUGCAAUCUAAAGCAUGCGUGGUCUGCCUGUCCCGUCUUGAAACACGGACCAAGGAGUCUAACAUGUAUGCGAGUCAUUGGGAAUUAUUAAACCCAAAGGCAUAAUGAAAGUAAAGAUCCAAUUUUAUGGAUAUGAGGAGAGAUCAUGGCUUUAAGUCUUGAUAUUCCGUAAGGUUUAUUGAGUAAAGUAUGCGCAUCUCCUGGAUGUCUUAACCUCUGAAGGUAGGGCAUACCUAGAGCAUACACGUUGGGACCCGAAAGAUGGUGAACUAUGCCUGGUCAGAACGAAGUCAGGGGAAACCCUGAUGGAGGUUCGUAGCGAUUCUGACGUGCAAAUCGAUCGUCGGAACUGGGUAUAGGGGCGAAAGACUAAUCGAACCAUCUAGUAGCUGGUUCCCUCCGAAGUUUCCCUCAGGAUAGCUGGCGCUUAUACCAGUCUCAUCCGGUAAAGCGAAUGAUUAGAGGCCUUGGGGCCGAAACGACCUCAACCUAUUCUCAAACUUUAAAUGGGUGAGAAGUUAGGCUUGCUUGAUUUGAAGUUCUAACAAUGGAUGGUGAGUGCCAAGUGGGCCACUCUUGGUAAGCAGGACUGGCGCUGUGGGAUGAACCAAACGUUGAGUUAAGGCGCCCGAAUCGACGCUCAUGAGAUCCCAUAAAAGGCGUUGGUUGCUUAAGACAGCAGGACGGUGGCCAUGGAAGUCGGAAUCCGCUAAGGAGUGUGUAACAACUCACCUGCCGAAGCAACUAGCCCUGAAAAUGGAUGGCGCUGAAGCGUCGUGCCCAUACUCAACCGUUGAGACAAAGAGGUAUUAUUUAUAAUAUCCGCGAGGUCUCAACGAGUAGGAGGGUCGUGGUGGUGUGCGUAGAAGGGUUUGGGCGUGGGCCUACCUGGAGCCGCCAUCAGUGCAGAUCUUGGUGGUAGUAGCAAAUACUUUGGAGAGGCCCCGAAGGACCGAUGUGGAGAAGGGUUUCGUGUGAACAGCCGUUGAACACGAGUCAGUCGAUCCUAAACCCGACGAGAAGUCGGUAUCACUGUAAGGGAGUUUAAUGUACAUGGAUCCCUACUUUGAUAAGGUGAAAGGGAAUCUGGUUUCAAUUCCAGAACCUGGUGACGGAACCGCUCUUUUCAAUAUAUUCCUUGUGGGUAUAUUGUCGAGGUAACUCAAAAAGACCCGGAGAAGCCGUUAGAACCCUCAGGAAGAGUUUUCUUUUCUGCAUGAGCAAUUGAGCGCCCUGGAAUUCCUUCAAGGAGAGAUAGGGUCAAGAUUGCGAAGAGCGUCGCAGUUAUUGUGACGUCUGAGGUGUUUUACCGGACCUUGAAAAUCUGGGAGAGGGAAACGGGAGCGUCGCACCAGUUCGUACCCAUAUCCGCAGCAGGUCUCCGAGGUGAGCAGCCUCUGGUCGAUAGAACAAUGUAGGUAAGGGAAGUCGGCAAAUCGGAUCCGUAACUUCGGGACAAGGAUUGGCUCUGAGGAUUGGGGCAGUCGGGCCGGAUCAGGAAAUGGUGUGUGCUCACGUGCUGGGCCUGGAUGAGAUUCUUCGGGAUUGAAUUCGGUCCCUUGCCGCGGCCUACUAUGGAUUGGUUCGGCUAGGAGAGCCAGUGAAAGGAAGUAAUUUUGAUUACUGGAACAACUCUCUUCGGCUUCCAUUGAACAAUCAACUCAGAACUGGCACGGACCGGGGGAAUCCGA